AUACUGCUGAAGAGUCCCAAACUAGGACGAAACAGUUGUCCAGUAC
rfam:Trichobilharzia regenti genome assembly, scaffold: TRE_scaffold0052324